GCUCUUUCAUCAGAACCUAGUACUUGAAACAAAUUUAAGGAGAACCAAUGUUCUGUUGACUGGCCAUAAUUAGGCCUUCUUCCUAUUGAAGACCAGACCUACCUCUCUUUUUCAAAAAUUUUGAAUUUAAUCAACCAACAAUUUUAUUUCAUCAACAUGUCUGUAAGUCUCUCCUUCUCUGUUCUAUGUAUGUAUAAUUUUGGAAUGAGACUGUGGAUGAAAUAAUAUUAUGUUAUGCAGAUGGUGGAGGUAAGAGUUCUAAACUUUGGAUUGUGAAGGAUGUGCUGAAUUGCCGUAGUUCUCGGGUGUUUGACACUAAUUUCAGUGUAGAUCAGCAUAGCAGAAGUCAUCAAACACGAUACUAAAUUAUAUAAACAAACGACAUCAGAUUUUUCGUGGGCAACAGGUUAAGCUACAGAUAAAGAAGACAUAAUAAUACUGAAGAGGGAAAAACAUAUUGCCUGGAGAAAUUUGAGCGGAGAAACAACCGAAAUCAUAUGUGAGCACAGAGAAUUUUUUCGCUGCUUCUGCGAGAUUAUGAUUUGUGUAUUUCGAAUACCAUUCUGUCUUUUUACUGUUACCUACUUUUGCGAGAUUUCCUUAGGUUUUUUUAUUUGGAAGAAUUGUAGUUGGAAAACAGAUCCUUUUACCUUAUUGAAACAAAAUUGUAGGGUUUUUU
rnacentral:lncRNA from 1 species